rnacentral:misc_RNA from 1 species
AUUUUUUUUUUUUUUUUGGGGGGGGAUGGGUUUGUUUUGGUUUGAUUUAACUGUCAAAACACCAAUUUCAAGCAUGACUUCGCAGAGGAUCUGAUUCGAUCCUGUUUUGUUUGUCAGUUUCAUUGCAAAGUGUUUUGUUCUUAAUAAGGGCUUGAGUCGGUUACUUGUCACAAGUCAUGUGAUUGUUUUUGCUUUUGUUUCUUGAACUCCCAAGACUAUUAAUUUUAAGAUGUCUUGUGAGACAACAUUUUGUGAUGCACAACUUGAAUGAUUUUGAAGGUUAUGUGACAAUCUUUGUUAUGCCUACUAGAUACAGGUAGAGGGCUUGUUCUCUUUGCUUGAAGCCAGACACUUUUUCUUUCAUUGGCACUGCGUGUACUAACAUUAUGUCAUUACCGAGGUUCAUUCUGCUUUGGGAGGCUUUUCAGCGUAUCAGGAAAUCUUUAUUUCAUAUGAACGAUACUUCUUGUGAUCAGAGGCUAAAAGGCUCAAGCGGCAAAAGACGCUGUCAUAGCAUAUCAGAAUAUAGGGUAUGAUAACCUUUGAUUGGGAGUAGGCAUAACAUACAAUCCAUUGUCACAGAGCUGUAUGAUUCUUAGCAAAAUAAUGCUGUUAAUUCUUAUUGGAUUGAUCGUUUAUUGGUUAGAGUAGACUUCGUAGGGGGGCGGGUGGGUGAAUUCCAUUGAUAAUGAUGAUGAGUGCAAUGGUGGCUUGAAAGUAGCAUAAUCAUAUAAUAUUCGAUUUGGCUUCUUAUUUGAACUUCCUAGACUCUAUCUACAAGUUAGACUGAGAAAGUUAUGCGCAGCCCAUUGCGACUUCUGUGGAUUUGGAAAUGGUAAUACGAGGAAAUGCCAAAUAACUUGGUUCCUUGGUAGUUUUGGGUACUCAGAAUGAAAAGUGACUACUAAGGUGUUUCUAAUAUUUAAUGCUGUUGAGGUAAUUAUAUGUACUAAUGGUUAGGAUGCCAUGCCGAGGUCAAAGUGAUCUCUCUCUCUCUCUCUCUAUUAUAUAGUAAAAUUAAAAUUUUCUUUCAUUAUAGUUUAUAUAUAAUAAUUAAAGGUUCUAAUUAGCAUUUGAGUGAAAGUUACAAUUAAUUACUAACGGAAAAUAAAGAAAAAAAAUACAAAAAGGAGGGAAAUUAGAAAGAAAAAAGAAAUAUAAAAUGCCAAAGAAAAGAAAAGAAAAACUAAUCGUGAAACUGGAAAUUGAACUCAUGCCAAAUUAACAAAUACUUGGCAUAUUUUUACCAUUGGACCAUGGAUGUAUGAUGGUUCAUUUAACAUACUUAUUUAUGUACAAAUUUGUUGAUUGGAUGAGAAUCAUAUUAUCUUUGUCCAACAUCAGUGGGGAGGGUUUGAUUUCGUUAUAAAGGAGAAUCCCUUAACUGUUUUUGUAUAGAUUAAAAUGUAUAAUUAGUAUUGUUGAGAUUUUAAUUAAAUUAAAAUCUUAUUUAAGUAUUUUUAAUGACUUACUUGGUAUUUUAAAGUUUUUUUUUUUUAAUUUGGGUUAAUCUUUAUAAUUUAAACAAACCAUGUGUUUAACUUGGUUUAUAAACGAGUUAAGCUUGACUUGGUCGAGUUCGAGCUUAAUUUGUUUAUGAAUUAAAUCAGUCAGUGACAAGUUAAGCUCGAAUUUAGUACAUUUUAAACAAGUCGAGCUUGAAUAAUUCAAAGUUCGGCUUGUCAUGCAAAUGUAAAA